AUUGAACGCUGGCGGCAGGCCUAACACAUGCAAGUCGAACGAGUGGCGGACGGGUGAGUAAUAUCUGGGAAACUGCCCGAUGGAGGGGGAUAACUACUGGAAACGGUAGCUAAUACCGCAUACCAUCGGAUGUGCCCAGAUGGGAUUAGCUAGUAGGUGGGGUAAAGGCUCACCUGGGCGACGACACCUAGCGGGUCUGAGAGGAGGAACGGCCACACGGGACGGAGGACACUGUCCAGACUCCUACGGGAGGCAGCAGGGGGGAUUAUUGCACAAGGGGCGGAAGCCUGAUGCGGCCAUGCCGCGUGUAUGAAGAGGGCCUUCGGGUGGUAAAGUACUUUCAGCGGGGAGGCGUUACCCGCAGAAUAAGCACCGGCUAACUACGUGCCAGCAGCCGCGGUAAUAC
rnacentral:rRNA from 1 species